AGCCACGCAGCAAGUACAUAGCGAACUAUUCUUUCGCCUUUUACUAAAAAAUACCGUGUGCGUGCUGCAAUUAGUGGCAUACGCUAAUUUUUGGCGGGGUUCUCUUCGUUGAGACUC